CAAUAGCGUAUAUUAAAGUUGUUGCGGUUAAAAAGCUCGUAGUUGGAUUUCUGCUGAGGACGACCGGUCCGCCCUCUGGGUGUGUAUCUGGCUCUUUCUUGGCAUCUUCUUGGUGAACGUUGCUGCACUUGACUGUGUGGAGCGCUACCCAGGACUUUUACUUUGAGGAAAUUAGAGUGUUUCAAGCAGGCAUACGCCUUGAAUACAUUAGCAUGGAAUAAUAAGAUAGGACCUCGGUUCUAUUUUGUUGGUUUCUAGAGCUGAGGUAAUGAUUAAUAGGGAUAGUUGGGGGCAUUCGUAUUUAACUGUCAGAGGUGAAAUUCUUGGAUUUGCUAAAGACGGACUACUGCGAAAGCAUUUGCCAAGGAUGUUUNCAUUGA
rnacentral:rRNA from 1 species